rnacentral:rRNA from 1 species
UACGGAGGGUGCGAGCGUUACUCGGAAUCACUGGGCGUAAAGGGCGCGUAGGCGGUCUUGCAAGUCUGGUGUGAAAGCCCAGGGCUCAACCCUGGAAGGGCACUGGAAACUGUUAGGCUUGAGUUCCGGAGAGGAGGGGGGAAUUCCCGGUGUAGCGGUGAAAUGCGUAGAUAUCGGGAGGAAUACCGGUGGCGAAGGCGCCCCUCUGGACGGAAACUGACGCUGAGGCGCGAAAGCGUGGGGAGCAAACAGG